GUCCUAGUGCAUUUCUCCGAUUUUACAGAUGCAGAAACCACGGCCCAGGGAAGAUGCAGCUUGAGCAAGGUCACCGGCAGUUCCUUUGCAGUAAAAUGGGAAUAAAAAGAAAAUCUACGUAACAGUAGAUAUUCUGUGAGGAUUACAUGAAUUCAUAUUUGAAGAGUGAGUAGAAGGGUUCCUGGCACAAGCUCUGCAAGUGUGGCUGGAAUGAAGAUGAUGAGGAUGAAGAUGAGGAUGGCAAGGCUGGAGCUCAAGUGCCACACUGUGUCCUGGAGCAGAAGCCACGUGUUGAGGACAGUCUGGACCCUUAACGAGGGUUCAGCCACGACACCAGCCUGUGACUGUUUACCUCUUGAGUUUAUUUACAGGAGAAGAAAAUAAACUCUCACCUUCUUUAAAACCCAUGGUUUUGCGGGAGGAGGAGCUACGUCAGUCUGCCUUGGAGCUCAGCACCGUUUGGCCCAUGGUAGAUGCCUCACAGAAAACACAAGCGGCGUUGAGGGCUCCUGUGCAGGCCCACACAAUAAUGAACCCUGUGAUGGACACUGGAACAUGCAAAUGCUCCUGAAGCCUUCAGGGAAUUUUUCCAGAGGUGAAGGCUAAGGUGACAUUCAUUGCCCGGGGAAGUAAGCGUAGGGUUGAAUCGAAGCAAGUCAUCCAGGACGGAUGAGACAGGACGGGAUGGAGAGAUACAGCUACUGAACAGCAGGACUCAAGGAAGAGAGAAGGUGAGAAGCAAAAAGCUCUGUCCCUCACCCCAGUGGACACUCAGAGGGCUGUGUGGGAGACACCCCAGCCACAUUUGCAGCUAAAUUUCACCACACAAGGUAGGUGGAAUUUGACUCUCAGAUGACAGCUGUGGGGAAUUUCAGUGAACGCCUUUAAGAAAGCAGUGAUUGAGGAAGGUGUAACACAUUAUGGCGCUGCCCAGGAGGUAGUUUAGAAAUGUCUAAAGAAGCAGUCUAGGAAG
rnacentral:lncRNA from 1 species